rnacentral:tRNA from 1 species
UCCCUGGUGGUCCAGUGGCUAAGAUUCUGUGCUCCCAAUGCAGAAGGCCUGGCUUAAUUCCUGGUCAGGGAA